CGGCAUUGCCCGAGCUCCGAAAUCAAAACAAACGUUCCAUGCGACUCGCGCUCGCACGACCAUAACAACGUCGUUGACUUCCAGAAAGGUAUCCCGAGGAGAAGAAUUUGGUCAGAGAAUUUCCAGGGCCAGCAAAGUGAUUUGUCUCGUUAACGUAUUAAUUGCCGCGCGAAUAUCGCGGAACAUUUCUCGGGAGAACGGUACCUCGGCGGCGGCGGCGCAUACCCCGUAAAAUGCGUGGCGAAUUUAUUGCCGUUUAGCCGCGGAUGUCGAGGAAUUCCGCGACGGAAUUGUUUCGGAACUAUGCGGCCACGUUUUUUGUUUCCGCGCGCGGCAGCAAAAGUCCGACGGCGGGACAGCAGAAAAAUACGCCGGUUCCUUCCGACGCCGUUUUAGAGACGCUUUCCGCUCGUGCUCGUUUUUUCACCGUGUAAUUCUACGCUGCUCCCUUUCACCCGUAAUUGAAUCCCGACUCUUUACCCUUUCGACUUUCUUCCCUCCCCCUAUCCCCUCUGCACACUCCAAAACUGUCAUUCUAAAGCUCGGGACCAGUUUCUCUAGAAAUGAUCGCGUUGCGAGCACGCUCGUUGCAAUCUUGGUAAUUUAUGGCAUUCAGCGUAACCGAGGAAAUUCAACCUGGCUGUUUAACUCGCGAUCUCUAUUGACGAGCUAUAACUUCUUCUUCUAAAAAGACUUAAAAUAUUUUAAUAAUUGUAAUAGUAACUGUAAUUAUUAACACAGCUAUUAUUACGGUUAGCUAUUUUACAACCUAAUUUUUCUACCCUUUGUAGUAAUUUUUCUUUGUACUCUUUUCUAUUAUUUUUGUCUUAUAAUAUGUAUGAUUUGAUAUAAUAUAAUUUGUUAUAAUAAUAUAAUUUGUUUUAUAAUUAAAA